rnacentral:rRNA from 1 species
AGUGGCGGACGGGUGAGUAACGCGUAGGAAUCUACCCUAAAGUGGGGAAUAACCCCGCGAAAGCGGGGCUAAUACCGCAUGUGAAUGCAAAUUUAAAGCCCUUAACUGGGCGCUUUAGGAGGAGCCUGCGUCCCAUCAGCUUGUUGGUAGGGUAAAAGCCUACCAAGGCGACGACGGGUAGCUGGUCUGAGAGGAUGAUCAGCCACAAUGGCACUGAGACACGGGCCAUACAUCUACGGAUGGCAGCAACUGGGAAUCUUUGACAAUGGGCGAAAGCCUGAUCAAGCGACGCCGCGUGAAGGAUGAAGGCCUUAGGGUUGUAAACUUCUUUUGCCAAAUCGUCGAGGUUUGGAGAAUAAGCCGCUGCUAACUACGUGCCAGCAGCCGCGGUAAUACGUAGGCGGCAAGCGUUACCCGGAUUUAUUGGGCGUAAAGCGUGCGCAGGCGG